rnacentral:pre_miRNA from 1 species
UGCAACCGGGAUCCGCGAAAGUCCCGCUUCUAGUUCAUUUUUCAAAUCUUCUAUUCAAAAUUUUGUUCAGAAUUUGAAUAAGAGAUUUGAGAAUUGAACUAGAAGCGGGAUUUUCGCGGGAU